AACGUUUCUUAAUCCUGGAGCCGAAAUCGCCGUUUUAGGAUAGUUUUAUGUGAGUAAGACGAUGGAGAAAAGUUUGGAGGCGAUUGAAUCUAUCCCUGAGCGUGUAGAGGCAGAAAUCGAAGGAAAUAGGAGCGUACCCGAGGAGUUGCCAUUUGUUGACGAAGGGGACGAUGAAGAAUCUAGCUUGCCUUUUCAUUUUGAAAUCACCAUGGCCGUUAUGGACGAAGACGAGGAGGCCGUUGAAAACGUUUUUGUUGAAGCUGCUACGGAGAUAGUGGGCGAAAAAAUGUUUCCAUGCGAAAAGAUUUGUAAAUCGAAAGCUGGCCUAACGAGGCAUGUAAACGCAAAGCAUGGCAGCAAAGCCACAGCAAAUGCAAACAUUCCUUCGCUUAAGAAAGAUGAACUUACGUCUAUCGUGAAUAAAGUAAAAGCAAAGAUAACAAAGGAGGGUUAUUGGGACACAGGAAUAACUUCGGCUUUGGUAAAAGUAACUUCGAACGAUAACCUUUACGAAGCUGUCUCGCCAGUUUAUCAACGAUUUUGUAAGAAACGAAAUCAAGAUAAUUUUCUCAUCGAAUUUUAUGAACUUAUUCCCAAGUCAUCUGCCCUCCUGAAAUGCAAAAACCAGCCACUUUGUAGCCUGGUUAUGGUAAGCAUAUCUGAUCACCUAGUAUAGCUUUGUUCAAGUCCACCAGUGGAAAGCAGAAGUCUGGCACUUCAAGUGAAAGCACAGAGCAUGUAACAGAACUAAGCGAACAUGAACGUGGACCCUUAUCAUAUAUUGCUGGCUACGUAUUGGCGAAAUUACAAAAACAGUGCUACAUUACAGAGCAUGAAACGUCCCAGUGUUGAGAACACAUAUAUUGACACACGAAGUAGAGGUGGACUAGUGACACCAUGUAGUGAUCUAGUGCAAAUCUUGGAGGUUGUGGAAAUAGUAUUUAGACAGUUUAUUGCCCAGCAAACAUCAGUGGUUAGUACUAUUCCAUGUGAUACAUUAUGUAAUGAAGCACUGGAGUCACCAUUGCUUAAGUCACUGUGGGAAAACAUUUUGCAUGGAUGCAAGGAUUUGCCGAAACAAACUACCAAGCUUUGUCUUGAAAAUAUUAUUAAACUUUAUAUAAAGGUUUGCAGUUUUUCCUAUGCUAGAGACUACAUCAGCAAAUUUAAAAUUAAACAAAAAGCAGCAAAGAGCAAAGGGAGGGAUUGCAGAAUACCCGUCCACUUUUGAUAGCUUGUUAAAACAAAUAAAUAAAUUAAAAAAUUAUUUCAAAACAGUUCACAAUUAAAAUUUAAAGAUAAAACUCCAAGAAUAUGUUGCUCGUGAUUAAAUUCAUUGCGAGUCUUUGAAGAACGAAGCAUUUGAAAUUGGCAUACUUUCCUCAUUUCGCCAUGUUUACAAGGAAAUAACAGGUGUAAUAUGUCCAAGUGGACGAGUAUUCUGCAAUUUAGCUGUCCCGGAGCCUGUAAAUACAAAUCUUGCUCCUUCAAGGCAUUUCUUUUUCUCACAUGUACUUUGCUAGUAAUUGUUCACAUCUUUAGCUUACGUACUAGGUAAUGUAAUAAAAUGUUCCAUUAAGAC